UGUGUGCGAUCAGCGAGUACUGGCAAGGGCUCCAAGCUGAAUGCCCGUGUGCUGCCUGAGGCCACGAACGAGACUCUAGAAGCUCCAGGGACGCUUCUAUGUACGGUAACGUGUCGAACAUUAAUAUCGACGAGGAGUGGAAGCUGGGUCUAACGAUUGUCAAGGUGCCGUGUGUGUAUUGACCACCGCACAGAGAGACGAGGCGACGUCUUCGCUGUAGCAUGGCUGGCGUCGCGUCAGUCGUACCAGCAGCGGGGCAAGCGUGCUGUUCUAGUCGAACGCACAGCGCCGGCUCCGAAUGCCAUUCAGUUCGCGAGCUGAUAGAGCGUUUCAUGGUCGUUGUAGGGCGUCCAUAGAGGAGACUGAAUAACGGGUGCAGCACGCUGCUGCCGCGAGUCGUGCGAGGAGCGCCUCUGGGGUAUGCGCACCGACCGGUGCGGAAACGGCGCGGCGACGCUGAUUUGCAAAGUGCAAACGCAGGGCGCGCGAGUGCUCACUUGCGCUGCAGAUGCCGGAACACGUGCGCUGGCCCCGAGACCGAUACUCGUGGCUCCUGGAACUGUAUGCGGCGCUUUGGACUCGGUUUGAGCUUUCUCGAACCUGCUGUGGAUCCGGUUAUACCAACUUGCUCGGUACUAGAAGGUUCGGACGACUUUGCGCGAGGAUACGACGAACAACAUGGCGCAAGACAACGAUGGCAACAGCGCGCUUAUCGCAUGCCAAGCGGGUGCCCGCGGUUGCGAAGCUGUUCGCGACUGACACGCAUCUGCGUCGACCUCGUGGGAGCCAUGGUGCACGAACAUGUGCUCUGCAUUGAGAAGCGUCUGUGCGAAAAUGGAAGCAAGGUUCAGAGAGCUGGGGUUGACGCCAGGGCGGCCCUCCAAUGCAUGAGCAGGAGCACGAACAAAACCGGGGAAAUACAAACACUGGGCACUUUAACACGAGAGCGACUUUCGUUCGCCAUGUCAUAGAUAGGAGGAAUUUUCCACGACGCGACAAGUUUUCAAGAUCAAAUAAGUGAUGCAGUUCGCCAAAGCAUUCAGAAACGAUGUUGACGCCAGAUCUUCUAUUCAACAGACAGGUUCACAUCGAAAGAGCCCUCGAAUGCGCAGAUAUGGGGCAGCGCUUUUCGGACAAGUUCCAGUUCUCGACGUAGUUGCUCAAGCGUCGGGCGUUCGACGAGCUUCACCGUCUUCACGAGUGCGUCCUGUAGCCAGUAUCUGCGCACGGCGUGUGCGGCGUCGCGCUCGCUCACUGAAUCGCCAAGAACGAGGAGGUUCAGAUUGGCCGGGUAAUUUGGAUGUCUCUCAAGCUCUGCCCUGAAUGCCUGCGUUUUCCAGUCCGAUGGCGAGUGCGGAAAAUCUGACUCGUAAAUGCUUCGGGCAGAAAUGAUACGAAUAUCGCUCGAGUCGAGAUGUUGCAAAACUCGUGGCAUGAAGCGGGCCGCUGAAAGUUGCACCCAACCAGUUUCCGCAUUGGUAAUGACACAUACGCGGCCAUAUUGUUGGGCGUCAUCCAAAAUACCAAUGACGAGAUCUUCUAGUGCAUCCAGAUUUGCGACAAGUUCCUGCGGUAACGAUUCCGUGUCAUCUACGCGGAAACCUAAAGUUGAGAGCCACGUCGACGAGAGCAGCGUAUCGUCCCAGUCGAAAAGCAUGAUCGUGCAAUCAGGAGCACAGAUUCGCCUCGCCUGCUCCCGCUGGGUCGCGAACCCAGGGCUGUUUCGGUCGUGGUGCUCAAUUUUCAAACCAUUUUCCGGGACGUCCAGAAGCGACCAUUCCGCGCACCUCCGUGAAAAGGAAUCGGAAGGUUCGGGCGCGGUCACACGCUGGCGCUGCCAUGAUUCGCCGCACGUCAAAUCUACACCAUGGACGACAGGUGCACUGCUACUAGCACCGUCUACGUCGCCAGAGGUAAACUCCGCCGCG